UCUUCCGCACCGUCGUGCCGCCGCUGGCGCAGCAUUCCCCGGACGCGCUGCUGCUGGUCGUGUCCAACCCCGUCGACGUGCUCACCUACGUCGCCUGGAAGCUCUCCGGCUUCCCGCCCAACCGUGUCCAACCCCGUCGACGUCCUCACCUACGUCGCCUGGAAGCUCUCCGGCUUCCCGCCCAACCGGGUUAUCGGAUCCGGCACCAACCUUGACUCCUCCCGCUUCCGCUCCCUCCUCGCCGACCACCUCGAGGUCAACGCCCAGGACGUCCAGGUAAAUUCAUUUUUAUCCUAUAUUUGCUGCACUUUCAACUGCAUGUAUUUUCAACUACACUGCAUUUGUACAAAUGCUCACGCAUGUAUGAUUGUAUGCGUGCAGGCGUACAUGGUAGGGGAGCAUGGGGACAGCUCGGUGGCGCUGUGGUCGAGCAUCAGCAUCGGCGGCGUGCCGAUGCUGAGCUCGCUGCGGGAGAGCGACGUCGAGUUCGAGCAGGCGGUGCUGGAACGCAUCCGCAAGGCGGUCGUCGGCAG
rnacentral:lncRNA from 1 species